UCUUGGGGGACUUGGGGCCAGCGGCAGCGGCCUUCUCGGCCCUCUCGGCGGCCUUCUUGGGGAGGAGGACGGGGUUGAUGUUGGGCAGCACACCGCCGUGCGCGAUGGUGACCCCGCCCAGCAGCUUGCCGAGCUCCUCGUUGUUGCGGAUAGCGAGGAGGAGGUGGCGCGGGAUGAUGCGGGUCUUCUUGUUGUGGCGCGCAUCAGCAUUCACAUUUUUCUUUUUUUAUUGCAUAACUGUUACUCAGAUCUUCAAUUAUCGAACCUUUCAUGGCUAAAUCUAGAAAAAUGGAACCCUUAUCUAUGCCUGGUG
rnacentral:misc_RNA from 1 species